CACGCAUCCUCUUGACUCCAAAUUCUGCUCCUUUGUGCAGGAUUUUCAGGUGACUCAUCCUUAACGAUCCCCCUUCCCAUCUCUUGUAAUAGAUCAUGCAUGCUUAUCGUUCCAGAAUCAUCAACUUUAAUCAGAGACCUUUCAAUGAGAGUUCCGAAAUCAUCUUCUGGAUUGCAACCAUAACGUCCUUCUAGCACUUCUGCUACGUAUUCUUUCUGUCCACCAAUAAAGAAGCAUGAAAUAUCAAGAAAUGUAUUCUUUAGAAUUAGGGGCUUUUAGUGAGUCAAAACUUAUUCUAAGCCUUUCUUGAAUAGCAUGCUCUGGAAUUCUUCUCAAUCUGUCAAUUACAGAUUCCCAUCUAGCUUGGUUUUUCCCAAUCAAACAAGAACCUAAGACCUCAAGAGCUAAAGGAAGUCCUCCACAGUAUUCAACUACAUCAUUAGAAAGCUCAACAUAAUCUUUUGCUGGCUUGGCGUCCCUAAACGCAUGCUGACAGAAUAGCUGAAGGGAGUCACCCCGGUGCAAUUCUUGAACCUGGUAUCUUUGAUCAGCUUCAAGAAGUAAGCGCUCAUCUCUAGUUGUAAUUAUCACCCUGCUUCCGGGACCAAACCAGCUUCGCUCUCCCAUCAAAGCAUUUAAUUGGUCCAGAUGAUCCACAUCAUCAACAACAACAAGAACUCUUUUGCGGCAGAGGCGUUCUUUAAUCAGAACCUUUCCUCUAUCAACAUUAUUGAUCUUCUCAGUAUUUUGUCUUAAAAUAUCAUGAAGUAGUUGUUGUUGUAAAAGAACCAAAUCAUUAGGUUCUGAUUUUUCUUUGACAUUCAAAAGAAAAGAGAUUCCCUCGAAUCCAUAUCCAAAGCCAUAGCAGAGUUGAUUAAAUACAACUUUUGCUAUAGUCGUCUUUCCUAUUUCUGGCAUCCCAUGUAAGCCCACAAUGCGUACAUCAUCUGCUGCAGUACUUAGGAAGUGAAAAAUAUUGUGAGCAAGCGGAUCAAUACCUACUAGGUGCUUAGGAACAUGUAAGUACUUGGGGUCCAAUUUAGUCAGCACAUCCUUGAUAAUCUCUUGGAUAAAUUUUGCUUCAUGCCUGUUCAUAGACAAAAGCAAGUCAUUAAUAGCGAGACAAUUAUGUUCAAAAUGUAUUUUAUUGUUUCACAUUGUAAAAUAUGUGAUGUAUAAUGACUCCAUAAAUGUGUGGAAGUGAAUCUUAUAGAUAAAAGGCAUACCCAUUUGCCAAAUCUUUGAGAUUCCAUCCAGAUAGAUUUCCUGCCUCUUCAAGAGCUUCUCUCCACUCCUUCACCUUCUCUUUAGAACGUUCUUCAUGUUUAACAAAUGCUUCUGCAAAACUACCAGUCUGUUUUCUCACAUAUGAAGGAUCAAUGUCAUAGAAUAUAGGAAGAGCAAUCUGACCAGUUUUCCUAUAUUUACACUUCAGAAUCUCCACAAGUUCAUCAAGACACCAUCUUGAAGAAGCAUAUCCUUUUGAGAAGACCACUAUAGAUAUCUUUGAUUCUCGAAUUGUCUUGAGGAGAUGAUCGGAGAUUUCUUCUCCUCUAGGAAGUUCAUCAUCAUCUCGAAAAGUGUGGAUUCCUGCUUGGACUAAGGCAAUAUAUAGAUGAUCUGUAAAUGUCUUGCGAGUAUCUUGUCCUCUAAAACUCAAAAAGACAUCAUAGGCCCCCUGUGGUGUAGAUGGAGAAGAAUCUGGCUCUGUCAUGGCAGCUGCAGAAAUUAAGGCAUGAUUAAUUGGCAAUGAAGCGAUUGCAGGAGGUAUCUGCUAUCUUGUAAUUAUAACUAGUAAGGGAUGCAUGUGAAGUGAUCAUCAGAGACAACACAUAUAUAUGAAUGUGCUGAGUAGGAAUUUCAACGCAAUUACUAUUAGAGAGUAAGCUAAGAAAAUCAUCCAUUCAUUGAGUUUCACCUAAUACUUCAAGUUUAAGAACCAGAGAGCAUAAAACAAUAGCAUUUAAAAAGCUUACUGAGGUCAGCUUUUCUUCUCUUUCGCGAGGAUGAACCAUUUUCUUCAUCUUUGGAUUGUUUACGUUUUUCUUUCGGCAUUCUAAAAUAGAAUGAUCUUGUUCUAGAAGACAUGUAAGGAAUUCUUUGUGUUCAUAUUUAAUUGAAUUCUAAACUCAUCAAUGACGUCUAUCUGAACAUAAAGCUUUCAAAUUAUUGUUAUGAGUGAAGACAUGAAAUUAAAACAAGAAAGAAGCAAAGAAGAGGCAUAAGCUAUAACAAAGGGUUGGUUGGAUUCCACAAGCUAUGAAAUUGCAGCAAUCGGGAACGGUAAUUUAUUUCAACUACCCAAACAUAUUUUUCAAUUUGUUUUUCAAUUUACAUGUAGUUUCAAAGAAGCAAAGAAGGGUUAUAUACUAGCAAAAACAUGACAGCAUAAAAUCCCGUGUAGCAAUUAUCUUGUUUGGCAAUCUUCUUAGUGUUAAUAUUGCUGUAAAACUAAAUGCAUUCAUGCAAUCAGAAGCAACAAUCGCAAAGGUUACCUCAAUAUGGUGUUUGAGUUGUUCGGAUUCCACCGACCUGGCGACUUUAAAGAUCAAAUUGCAGCUCUCAGAAAGGACUGAAGGAUAGUUGAGGCAAUAUUGUGUCGGAGAAAGAAUGUAAAUGCUUUCUUGCAAAUUAUUAGAGCAAUAUAUGCAAUAAUUAUCAAAGAUGAAGCGUAACAUGCAUAGGAAAGGGAGCAAGGAAAUUUCUUUAGCAGCGUGUGAUCAAGCUAAUUUCCCGGUUGUUGCUGAGGAAUAAUUGUACAGGAAAAAGAGGAAGGAAAUUUCUCUAGCCGCGUAUUUCAUUGUUCUUUUUUUCAAAAGUAGCCGCGUAUCUCGUUCUUCUUUUUUUCAAAUGAAGAGAUGACAGAAUCACAUUGUGUCUAUCACCAUUGAUUACAAAAGCAAGUAUCUCUCAGCCCUACUAUUUGGUUUGUGGGUCCAAUCUGAUACUUGUUAAUGUAAAUAUUUUAUAAUCAUUAUAUUAAUUUUAUUCAUUCAAAUUUAUUUAUUAUUAAAAAAACAUCUUUUUAUCUUUAACAUUUAUUGAUGUUUGAUUAACGAGUCUAUAGUAAAAAUAAAAUUUUUGAGAUAAAAAUAUUUUUUAAUGAAAAUUAUUAAGUAAUUAUAAUUAUAACAUUUUAUUUAUAUAAAAACGGUAUUCCUAAAUGUUAUUAGUUAAUGCUCUAUUAAUAAAGGACAUUAAUUAGAGUUGUUAAGACUAUUUUAAAUUAUAUAUGUUCUUUCUUUUUGUGAAAAAGAAACAUUUGUUCUCACAAGUUAAUGUAUAGAGAAAAUCUAGAUCUAAUUAUAUGUAGAUGCGUGUCAGAUAACAUAUUCAUUAAACUACAUUGCAUAAGAAUUUCAUAUAGAUAAAUAUCAGUGUUUAUGGAAAGGCUCGUACAGUAAUUGUAUAAGUAUUGAUCAUUAAACUUAAGAUCACUAGGUUAUUUUAUAUAUGAAAUGUUAUGUUUUGAUUCUAGCUAUACGUUGUUUUAAUCAAUAGUAAUAAAUAUGUAAAUAUUGGCUAUAACAUGAACUAUAUAUGAAUUAUUAUUAUAUACAAUUAUUGUUAUGAGUUUCACAUGUUCUCAAAUAAUAUUUAAUAUGAAAUCUUUGCGUAAGGUGGAAUAAGAUAUGAAAAAAGUUUUAAAUCUUAUUUAAAGAAUCAAUUUUUAUGUUGUUGAGACCAUACAUGAUUCGACAGGGCACACACAUUUCAUACUCAAAUGUCUAAAUCGUAGCAUUAUAGGUAAAUGGAUAAUAAUUACACUAAGAAUCUGAUCACUAAAAAUUUAAAUUAAACCAUAUAUGAUUUUCCUUAUAUUUGAGAGAUUAUGAUACAUUACUAGAUAGUACACUUGAUCUUUAAAGAUAAAUCAAUUAAUUAUUGAUGAAUUGAUAAUAAAUUAAAUUAUAUAAUUUAUUUAAUUGAAUUUUAUUUAGAAUUAUAAUUUAUAUUUGAAUUAAUAUAUUAAAAACUUAACAAGUCAUACACAUUAAGAAUCAAUGGUUGAUUAAAUCUUGAUUUCCCGAUAUUUUGAAUCAAAUUACAAUGUUAGGCUAAACUUAAUAACUAUAUUGUAUAAUUGAUAUGAUAAACUUUUUAUAUAUAUAUAAAGACAUGUCAUGCUUUCUGUCAUUUCAAUCAAAUAUAAAAUCGUAAAACAUUGUAAAACUUCACAAAACUUAACUAUCAAGUUAUCUAGUAUUUUAAUGAAAGUUGAAGGACAACAUUUUAAUUUAGUCAGCACAUUUUGUGUGUUAUUAAAGACUUCCAGUCAGUCAAUGCGGGUAUGAACACUAACUCUUUUUUUUUUUUUUUCCACACACAAUUGUUUUGUUUGGAAUUUAUGGGUUUUUGUUCUUGUAAAAUAACAGUGUUUCUCACACGGCGCUUGUAUUCAAGUUCUUUAUCGGUGUUUUCUGUCUUGCAUCAUCGUGUUUUUAAGAAUUUUAAAUUGUUUUUUGUUAAAAAUAAUUUUUUUAUAUUUUCAAAUUAUUUUGAUUUAUUAAUAUUAAAAUUAAUUUUUUAAAAAAUAAAAAAUAUAUAUAUAUAUAUAUAUAUAUAUUAUUUUAAUAUAUUUUUAAACCAAAAAUAUUUUAAACUAUAAUAACUAAUAUAAUUCCAAACAGAUAUUAAACACAACCGCUAGUCAUGAUGGACAGUUUACAUGGGAACAGACGAAGGAGUAAAGACUUAGACUUUGGUGGAUCGAUGGACGAUGGGAAUAGCUAAUAUUAUCAUCUACUAACUAUGAACCUUCUUGACUCUUUAGUAUAUUAUUUUUAUAUUUUAAAAAUAAUAUUUAAAAAAUUUAAAUUUUAUUUUAUUUUUUUAUUAACUUUAAAUUAAUAUGUUUUUAGUUUUUUAAAUUAUUUUAAUAUAUUAAUGUUAAAAAUAAUUUUUAAAAAAUAAAAAAAUAUUAUUAAUAUAUAUUUUAAUAUAAAAAAUUAUUUAAAAAACAAUCAUUUUAAAUCUUUCUCCCCCGUCUGCAGCAUUGAUUACAAAACCGCGUUGUUGGGUAUGUCAUUGGCAGCAUGAUAGCAUCACAAUCAAAUGGCAUAAUUUUCCACUCGGGAAACUCAGAAGACCCUCGCCCUCACGCUCCCGUCUCCAUUUAUUUGGCUGCUAAUUCCAUCUAUCAGCCCUGCUUUUUUUUUUUUUUUUCCUGGGUCUAGUCUGAUACUUUUAUUAAUUUUAUUCAUAUAAAAUAUAUUUUUAUUUAAGAAAAUAUAUUUUUAUUUUUAACAUUAUUUAAAAGUUGUUAUUAAUUUUAUUCAUAUAAAAUAUAUUUAUUAUUUUAAAAAAAUAAAAUUAUUAUUUCUACCGUGUUUUUGAGAAACCCGACAAUAACAUCAUAAUCAAAAAGUAUAAAUUUCCACGGACAACUUGCAAAUACAUGGGACAGCUCUAACCAUUUUUUUGUUCUUGUUUGUUGAUUUGCUAAUUUGUGUUAAAGGGAGGGAAAGGGACUGGAUCUAUAUAAUCCACCUUUCAAUUCUUUGUGUUCAUAUUUAUGUUGAUUCAUUCUUAGCGUUUUAAGGGAUUUUCGGCUGGUGACUAGUCUAGUACAUUCUAUUUGGUAAUGUGAUCCGGAGGCUUUCUUUUUCUUUUCUUUUUCUUUUUGUUAAAAACAUCUUGACCAUUUUGAAUUUUAACAAGGCAGUGCAAGGGCUUCCAAAAGUGUAGGAAAAAUAAAAAGUAUUAUUAAAAAUUUCUAAUUCAAUUUAAUUUAGUGAUUUCCAAAACAAGCAAUAGUUUUUGAAAUUGGUGCUUUUCUUCAACUAUUCUCCUGGAUUUUGUUUAAUCAAUAACAUGACAUGAUUGUUUUGGCAAUUGUUUUUGCUAAAAACAUGAUUGUCAUAGCCAUUUUGCACCCUAUUUUUCUAGCAAUGCAAAAGAGAAAAACAACAUGGAGAAAAGGCUAGCAGAAACAGUUGUAUAUUGGAAUUCUUGUUUUGUUUUCUUUUUCUUUUUCUUUUGUAUUUGAUUUUUAUUUUUAUCAAGAUUAGGUUGCCGGCAAGUGUGAACUGAACUUGUUGGAGGAAAGAUGUUGGAUGCUGUGCUGCUCAACAUGAGGUUGCGUGGACGCAUUGCUCUGAGCCCGAGCAUAGAUAAAUCUACCAAACUCAACAUUAAUCUUUGAAUUAGACAUAUCUUUCUUUGAUAAAAUUAGAGAUGUUUCAUGCUAUCAGUAUAUUCUAUUUGGUAAUGUGAUCCGGAGGCUUUCUUCUUCUUCUUUUUUCCUUUUUGUUAAAAAAAUCUUGACCCUUUUGAAUUUUAACAAGGCAGUGCAGGGGCUCUCAAAAGUGUAGGAAAAGUAAAGGGUAUUAAAAUCAAGAGUGAACUUGUAUAAUUUUACAAGUAAAUAUAUAUAUUUAUUAUUUAAAAUUAUAUAAAAAAAUGAUAAAACUGGUCUAAAAUCAUGAUUUUACUAUUGAUUUUAAAAUAUUUUUAAAUUUUCAAUUCUUAUCUUCUUCCAUGCAUACUCUUAUGUUUACUUACUCAUAUAUGAGUCCACUAGCAAAUUUGGAUUAUUUGCUAACAACUCAUAAUUUCUUAGAGUUGUUCUGUAUAAUAUGUGUUUAGUUAUAUAUCUUAAUUUUAAGUUGGACCUAUAAUAAUGAUUUUUUUUAAGAUGAUUUCUUAACUGCUUGUGUGGAAUUAAUUUUCCACUGUAAUUUAAUUUGAAUUUAAUUUAUAAAUAAAUUAAAUUUAAUAAAUAGAAUUCAAUUCAUUUUAGUUUUUAUAUUACCUUCAUCACCUUCAUCUCAUUUCUUCAAAGUUAUGUAAAAAAAAAAGAUAGGUAUUUUAAAAAAAUAAUUUUAACAUUAAAUUUUUUCUAUUUGGAAUUAUAAAUCAGAGGAUUAAUAUCUAAUUUAUUUUGAUAUAAUUUUUAGAGAUUGAAUUCUAUGUAAAAUAUGUUAAAUAACACUAAAAAUAUUUUAAAUAUGAAAUAUUAUUAAAAAGUUUUAAUUUAAUUUAGUGAUUUCAAAACAAGCAUGAGUUUUUGAAAUUGGUGCUUUUCAACCGGAUAGGUUGGGAGAGGGACAAAAAAAACUUCUGCCGUGAAGAAAGCCCAAUUUCAUUCGAAUCAUUUUUGCUCUUCGUUUCUUUCUUUUACAACAUGAAAGUGAUUUCUCUUUUUGGUGUAUUUUUAGUACUUAAAAGAACAUGUUAAUUGGACCAAAAAGUUCACCUUUUUUUUUUAAAAAAAAUUGUUCUUGUUUGUUGAUUUGCUAAUUUGUGUAAGGGGGAUGGUUUAAAGUAUGGUUGUGGUUGUUUUCUAAAAUAUUUUUGCUCACAAAUAUAUUAAAAUAAUUCUUUUUUUAUUUUUUAAAAAUUAUUUUUGACAUCAACACAUUAAAAUGAUUUAAAACAUAAAAAAAAUAUUAAUUUCGAUUAAAAAAAUAAAAAAUAUUCAAGUAUUUUCAACCAAUGUUGAUUCAUUCAUAGAUUCAUAGGUUAUAAGGGAUUUUGGGCUAGUAACCAGUAUAUUCUAUUUGGUAAUGUGAUAAAAGCUUUUUUUUUUUUUUUUUGUUAAAAAAAUCUUUUGACCCUUUUGAAUUUUGACUAAGCAGGGCUUUGAAAAGUGUAAGAAAAAUCAAGGGUGUUAAAAUCAAGAAUUAACUUGUAAAAUUAUAUGAUUUUAUAAAUAUAUAAUCAUCAUCCAAAAUUAAGUUAACAUAAAAAACUGAUAAAACCAGACUAAGAUCAAGUAAAAUCAUGUAAAAUCUACCCAUUUUACAAUAAUUUUAAAUUUUUAAUUAUUAUCUUCCUCAAUGCAUGCCCUUGUGUUUACUCAUUAAUGCAUGAGCCCACAAGUGCUUGUAUCUAUGGAUUCUUUCUUUAAACAAUAGUGCAAAGAUGAAGAAAACAUGGUCUUACUUGAACACUUCCUAACAAAUAAAAAAUUAUUUAUUACAGAACAAAACUUUGUAAAUUCUUAUUUCAUAAAGAUAAUUUUACGGACAAGAGUGACAAACAAUACUCUAAAGUCUAAUCUAUCAUGUGUCUAUGCCAAAAUAAUAUCAUAGUCUUUUAAACAAGUUUACAACAUUAUGAUUUAUUUAUAGAAAAUCCCAUAACUUGUCUAAGACAUAAUCUAACAAGAAACAAGACUUCAAAAUUAAAAAGAAGGUACAACUUUGAAUUGUUUGAUUUAUUAUUUAUUUUAGAUCAUAUAGGGUCUACAAUUCUUUAAUGAUUCUCUUAUUGAAGUUCAUAGUGUGUAACAAACAAUAUCAGUCUGUUGCUAUCUAAAAUAAAUACUACAUUAAUUUAAUUAGUGAUUUUACACAACAAGAUGAUAAUAUCAUAGCUAAGUAGGCAUAAAGUGGGGAGUUUUCUUAAACCAAUCCCUCGAUUAAUUGAGAUCAUCAGGUAAGAAUUUUUGCAUGACUAUUGUUUUCCAUAGGCUGAACCCCCGAAUCAAAAAAGCUUUCCACUGCUGCCUUGUAGAAAAUCUCAUUGAACCAUGACGGGGAUGAUGAAGCAGAUGAUAUGGUGGCGAAGGUAUCGUUCUAUCGCUUUCAACUUCGGAGUACUCUUGGUUGUCAUUCUCAUGAUCCGACGAUCCUGACCCUUUAAAUGAAGUCUCGUAGUAGUCAAUGUCAUGAUCCCCCUCUGAACCUUCAAAAGACUCUUUGUUGUAAAUGUCAUGAUCCAACGCUGGAGUUUGAUCGUAGUUGCUCCGUCCAAAUGGAUGUAUCACUACAUGGAUCCCAGAUCGUACCACUUCACUCUUUUCGGACCUCAAUAUUACUUAUGAUUCCUAGCCACCUACUACGGAAAUAGGGCAUUGCAUGUGUAGCUUCGAACAACUGAACACCGUUGCUUUUAUUUUUUAUAAUAGCCUUUAAUUCUUGAUGCCAAGUAGCACCUGAACAGAGAGCCCAAAUGACCAAGCCUUCGAAAUCUGGAGGUAUAUCAAAUGAUAAUGAACAUCCUUCUCCACCGUAGCUGAACCAUUUUGGAAUGAUGGAAUAAUCGUAGGGAACGGAAAAAGCCUUGAGGGGAAUAAAAUACUCGAGAAAAUGAUAAUUCAAGAUUCUCUGCAUAAAUAUUGAAUUCAAGAAAUGCUGAGAUUUUAGACACCGAUUAAUAUAUAUAUAUAUAUAUAUAUAUAUAUAUAUAUUUGUGCGCGCGCGCGCCAAUUGUGUGUUUAUUUGUGUGCAAGAGAGACAGAACUAGUACCUCUAGAAGCCGAUCCUUGGUAUUUUUUGAUAAAUUACCGAGACGUUGCUUGCCGUAAAUCUCAAAGAAAUUGUAACGCGCAUAUUGAGACAGAUAUGGUGGAGCAGGUAUUACAACUCUAUCUCUUCCAACUUCAGACUCAUGAUCCCACUCUGACCCUUCAAAUGAAUCUGUCUUUUCAACUAUCACAUGGAUCCCGCAUUCAAACACUUCAUCGUCUUCUCCCGUAUAAAGUCCCACGCACAGUUGCAAUUCCUCAUCUUCACAAUAUUCUUUCAUUGUCAUCUCACUUAUACUUAUGUAUCUCAACCAAUUUCUACCGACACAAUCACUUAUAGUUGCUUCAAACAAUUGAAUACCGUUGCUUUUAUUUCUUAUACACAAUUUGGUGAUUCCAAUAAGACCUAUCAAGCGUUGACAGACAACCCCAACGACCAAGCCUCGGAAAACUAGAGGUAUAUGAAAUGAUAAUGAACUUCCUUUUCCUCGGUAGCUGAACCAAUUUGGAAUCAUAGUGAACUUAUCUCUGUGGCUGAACGUAUGCCAAAGAUUGAAGAACAUAUGAUACGCGUAACCACCGUAGCAUAGUGCCUGUAUAUAUUAGACAAUAAUUAAUGUAUAUAUUGUAUGUGCAAAUUGUGUGCUUAUUUGCGUGCACGAGAGACAGAAAUAGUACCUCAGCAAGACUUUUCUUAUAAUUAUUUGAUAACUUGCUCUUGGUAAGAUAGGAAAUAAACCAGCCAUGAUUACUUAGACCUUCCAUGCCUUCAAUCUCUGUUAAAUCCGGACAACCAAACAGAAACAAACUUAGAUAUUUUUUUGCUUGGAUUGGUAGUCUUACCCAUUGCAUAGAUUUGCAACCAAAUGUAUCCAACUGUUCUAAAUUUGAGGGAAGCUCUGGGAUUGAUACAAGAUUUCUGCAUUCCUGAACGGUCAAAAGCCGCAGCUUAGAAAGGAUGCCGAUGCCAGAAGGCAGACUGAAGAACUCAUUUUUUGAUAGAUCCAACUCUUCAAGAGAGGAAAAACCUCCUAAAUCAACAGAAUUAAUUGCACGUUCAGAGAAACCACAAUUAACAAGUUUUAGCUUUCCCAAUACUCUCCAAAUAGUGGAAGUUGGAGUUGGCAGAAAAGCUGAAAUCCAAGAAGAAUUUGGUGAAGGCCGAUAUGGUAAGUUCCAGUCCCACUUCCAGUGUCCGCGCAAUGACAACUUCCUCACACACUUUAAAUGUCCAACUGAAGAGAGAAAUUGCUCAUUGUUAAUUCCAUCUGCUAGAAGCUCAAUGAAAGACUCGAUAUCACCCAUGCACUCUGGCAGCUCCUUAAGUUGUGAGCACCCCGCAAUAUUCAAACACACAAGAGACUUUGAAUGUUUAAUAGAUUGAUCUACCUCAAUUAAACUUGAGCAACCUUCAAGUAGUAGUUUUUCUAGUCUUGAACUGUGCAAGUUUGGUGUUUUCACAAGGUUCUUUGAAUAACUAAGAUCAAGAAUCUUUAGAUUGUUGAGUAUCUGUCAGAGCAGAGAGAAAAAUCAUUAAAAAGUAAUCAUCAAAAGUUUUCUAGACAAAUUUUUGGGCAUUUUGGUAUGUUUCGCACCUUUUUUUCUUUCCAUAGUUCUCUGAUGUUACUGUACUGCAUAUCAAUAACAACUACGUAGUCCAAUGAAAAGUCGGAUGGUAAAAAUUCCAAAGGAUAUUCAAGCCAACAAAUCCACGUCAACACUUUAGAAAGCCGUUCAAAAGAUCCGGUGAGUUCUGCCCCACUGAUUUGGAGUAAUUUUAACAAUUUCAUUUUUGUAAAUGAUCCUGUGCUUAGUGAUUUGUCUUCUGAUCUUCUCACAUCCAAUGUAAGGCCCUUUACAACUUCUGUUCCCUUAAAAAGAAAAAAAAAAAUGAAUAGAACUUUCAUCUGAUUUUUUGUAAUAAGUUUGACAAUAAAGAUACAAAUUAAUGAAUGUGCUUUUCUGUAUGCAUUGAGUUCUUACCAUAUGCAUCUUGAGUACUAUCCACGCAUCCUCUUGACUCCAAAUUCUGCUCCUUCGUGCAGGAUUUUCAGGUGACUCUUCCUUAACGAUCUCCCUUCCCAUCCCUCGUAAUAGAUCAUGCAUGCCUAUCGUUCCAGAAUCAUCAACUUUAAUCAGAGACCGUUCAAUGAGAGUUCCGAAAUCAUCUUCUGGAUUGUAAUCAUAACGUCCUUCUAGCACUUUUGCUACGUAUUCUUUCUUUCUACCAAUAAAGAAGCAUGCAAUAUCAAGAAAUGUAUUCUUUAGUGUAGAUUCAUCCAGUGUGUCAAAACUUAUUCUAAGUUUUUUCUGAAUUUCACUGUUUGGAAAAUUUCUCAAUCUGUCAAUUACAGAUUCCCAUCUAGCUUGGUUUUUCCCAUACAAACAAGAACCUAAAACCUUAAGAGCUAAAGGAAGUCCUCCACAGUAUUCAACU
rnacentral:lncRNA from 1 species